UACGGGAGGCAGCAGUGGGGAAUAUUGCACAAUGGGCGCAAGCCUGAUGCAGCCAUGCCGCGUGUAUGAAGAAGGCCUUCGGGUUGUAAAGUACUUUCAGUCGUGAGGAAGGUGUUAAGGUUAAUAACCUUAGCAAUUGACGUUAGCGACAGAAGAAGCACCGGCUAACUCCGUGCCAGCAGCCGCGGUAAUACGGAGGGUGCGAGCGUUAAUCGGAAUUACUGGGCGUAAAGGGCACGCAGGCGGUUAAUUAAGUUGGAUGUGAAAUCCCCGGGCUUAACCUGGGAAUGGCAUUCAAGACUGGUUAGCUAGAGUCUUGUAGAGGGGGUUAGAAUUCCAUGUGUAGCGGUGAAAUGCGUAGAGAUGUGGAGGAAUACCGGUGGCGAAGGCGGCCCCUGGACAAAGACUGACGCUCAUGUGCGAAAGCGUGGGGAGCAAACGAGGGAUUAGAUA
rnacentral:rRNA from 1 species